GAUGAAUAACGCAGCGAAAUGCGAUAAGUAAUGUGAAUUGCAGAAUUCAGUGAAUCAUCGAAUCUUUGAACGCACAUUGCGCCCCCUGGUAUUCCGGGGGGCAUGCCUGUCCGAGCGUCAUUACAACCCUCAAGCUCUGCUUGGUAUUGGGCCCCGCCAGUUCUGGCGGGCCCUAAAGUCAGUGGCGGUGCCUUCCGGCUCCGAGCGUAGUAAUUCUUCUCGCUCUGGAGACCCGGUUGUGUGCUUGCCAACAACCCCCAAUUUUUUAAGGUUGACCUCGGAUCAGGUAGGGAUACCCGCUGAACUUAAGCAUAUCAAUAAGCGGAGGA
rnacentral:misc_RNA from 1 species